rnacentral:rRNA from 1 species
GGGGCUGCUAUACAUGCAAGUCGAGCGGACAGAUGGGAGCUUGCUCCCUGAUGUUAGCGGCGGACGGGUGAGUAACACGUGGGUAACCUGCCUGUAAGACUGGGAUAACUCCGGGAAACCGGGGCUAAUACCGGAUGGUUGUUUGAACCGCAUGGUUCAGACAUAAAAGGUGGCUUCGGCUACCACUUACAGAUGGACCCGCGGCGCAUUAGCUAGUUGGUGAGGUAACGGCUCACCAAGGCGACGAUGCGUAGCCGACCUGAGAGGGUGAUCGGCCACACUGGGACUGAGACACGGCCCAGACUCCUACGGGAGGCAGCAGUAGGGAAUCUUCCGCAAUGGACGAAAGUCUGACGGAGCAACGCCGCGUGAGUGAUGAAGGUUUUCGGAUCGUAAAGCUCUGUUGUUAGGGAAGAACAAGUGCCGUUCAAAUAGGGCGGCACCUUGACGGUACCUAACCAGAAAGCCACGGCUAACUACGUGCCAGCAGCCGCGGUAAUACGUAGGUGGCAAGCGUUGUCCGGAAUUAUUGGGCGUAAAGGGCUCGCAGGCGGUUUCUUAAGUCUGAUGUGAAAGCCCCCGGCUCAACCGGGGAGGGUCAUUGGAAACUGGGGAACUUGAGUGCAGAAGAGGAGAGUGGAAUUCCACGUGUAGCGGUGAAAUGCGUAGAGAUGUGGAGGAACACCAGUGGCGAAGGCGACUCUCUGGUCUGUAACUGACGCUGAGGAGCGAAAGCGUGGGGAGCGAACAGGAUUAGAUACCCUGGUAGUCCACGCCGUAAACGAUGAGUGCUAAGUGUUAGGGGGUUUCCGCCCCUUAGUGCUGCAGCUAACGCAUUAAGCACUCCGCCUGGGGAGUACGGUCGCAAGACUGAAACUCAAAGGAAUUGACGGGGGCCCGCACAAGCGGUGGAGCAUGUGGUUUAAUUCGAAGCAACGCGAAGAACCUUACCAGGUCUUGACAUCCUCUGACAAUCCUAGAGAUAGGACGUCCCCUUCGGGGGCAGAGUGACAGGUGGUGCAUGGUUGUCGUCAGCUCGUGUCGUGAGAUGUUGGGUUAAGUCCCGCAACGAGCGCAACCCUUGAUCUUAGUUGCCAGCAUUCAGUUGGGCACUCUAAGGUGACUGCCGGUGACAACCGGAGGAAGGGGGGGAUGACGUCAAUCAUCAUGCCCCUUAUGACCUGGGCUACCNCGUGCUACAUGGGCAGAAAAAGGGCACCAAACCGCGAGUUAACCC